rnacentral:rRNA from 1 species
UACGGAGGGUGCUAGCGUUGUUCGGAAUCACUGGGCGUAAAGGGUGCGUAGGCGGGUCGUUAAGUCAGGGGUGAAAUCCUGGAGCUCAACUCCAGAACUGCCUUUGAUACUGAAGAUCUUGAGUUCGGGAGAGGUGAGUGGAACUGCGAGUGUAGAGGUGAAAUUCGUAGAUAUUCGCAAGAACACCAGUGGCGAAGGCGGCUCACUGGCCCGAUACUGACGCUGAGGCACGAAAGCGUGGGGAGCAAACAGGG